UUUUGCGUUAAUUAUAGCGUAUGUGAUGUUAAUGUGGAAGAAAACUUUGCAAAAAAUUUGGCUUUGUACAGUGGUACAGACAAGCUGCCAUUAAUUUAUAUUAAUGGAAAGCUGUUUGAUGGUGAUUUGACCGGUAUCGGUAGAAUGUCUCAUUCAAAAUUUUGCUCAACAUUUGAGCCAUAUGACGGUGGCUUGAACAAAAGAAUUUAUGAUUUGAUAAACGCAUUUCCCGUGAUGUUGUUUAUGAAAGGCACUAAAACUCAACCUCGAUGUGGUUUCAGCAAAGAGAUGCUGGAGGUUUUGAAUCAGUCCAACGUCGAUUACGCAACUUACAAUAUAUUGGACGACAACGAUGUUCGUGAAGGUCUCAAAAUUUACAGCAACUGGCACACUUAUCCUCAACUUUAUGUUAACGGUAAUUUAAUUGGUGGUUUGGAUGUAGUGAAACAAAUGAUGGAAUCUAAUCAAUUGGAAAAAGUAUUUGCUUCAGCUAGCACAGUUUCUUAAUUUAUUUUGUGGAAGAACGAAAGUUAGAGGUUCGAAGGCGAUCAGAUACCGCCCUAGUUCUAACGGUAAACUAUGCCAACCAGCGAUUCGCCGAAGUUCAUUUAAGACUCGGCGAGCAGCUUCCGGGAGCCAAAGUGUUUCGGUGCCGGGGGAAGUAUGGUUGCAAAGCUGAAACUUAAAGGAAUUGACGGAAGGGCACCACCAGGAGUGGAGCCUGCGGCUUAAUUUGACGCAACACGGGAAAACUCACCCGGCCCGGACACUGGAAGGAUUGACAGAUUGGCGGCUCUUUCUUGAUUCAGUGGGUAGUGGUGCAUGGCCGUUCUUAGUUGGUGGAGCGAUUUGUCUGGUUAAUUCCGAUAACGAACGAGACUCUACCCUAUUAAAUAGUGAUAGUAUUGUAUUUUUUGUGCUGAUCACUUCUUAGAGGGACUGGCAAAUUGAAAGCUGCACGAAAAAGAGCAAUAACAGGUCUGUGAUGCCCUUCGAUGUCCGGGGCUGCACGCGCGCUACAAUGAAAGCGUCAACGUGAGUUACGUCCUUACCUGAAAAGGUUUGGCAAUCGAAUGAAACGUUUUCUUGAAUGGAAUAGGGAAUUGCAAUUGUUUCCCUUGAACGAGGAAUUCCCAGUAAGCGUGAGUCAUUAGCUCGCGUUGAUUACGUCCCUGCCCUUUGUACACACCGCCCGUCGCUACUACCGAUUGGAUGAUUUAGUGAGGUGUUUUGACUGGCGCCAGUAGUCGGAUGUAUUCGGCUUCGCGCCGGGAAAUUUCCCAAACCAAAUCAUCUAGAGGAAGUAAAAGUCGUAACAAGGUUUCCGUAGGUGAACCUGCGGAAG
rnacentral:rRNA from 1 species